rnacentral:rRNA from 1 species
UACGGGGGGGUAAGCGUUGUUCGGAAUUACUGGGCGUAAAGGGCUCGUAGGCGGCCAACUAAGUCAGACGUGAAAUCCCUCAGCUUAACUGGGGAACUGCGUCUGAUACUGGAUGGCUUGGAUUCGGGAGAGGAAUGCGGAAUUCCAGGUGUAGCGGUGAAAUGCGUAGAUAUCUGGAGGAACACCGGUGGCGAAGGCGGCAUCCUGGACCGGCAUUGACGCUGAGGCGCGAAAGCCAGGGGAGCAAACGGG